ACAUUGAAUGGCAUCAAUUUUUUGCGCAUUCCUAAAUUGACUUAACCGAUGAAAGCGUCAAAAUUCAAUGUCCCUUAUCACAUUGGCAUAACAAUACGAUUUGUGUCAGAUAUAUGAAUGUAUGCAAGCGAGUGUGUGAAAGUAGUUACAAUUGGUGCCAUAAUAUUUACAAACAUUGUGCACAUGAAAAAUUGAAACACUGGAAGAUGUACAUAUACAAGUGUGAUACAAACACCGGUUUAAUUGAAAUGAAGAAAAUAUAAAUACAGCUUCCAAGCAGCGAGAGAUGGAAACAGAAUCAGUAGAAAAUAAAACGAACAAUGUAACACAAUAAUGGAACAAUCGAAAGGAUGGAAUAAAAUACAACUGCGCUGCGAAUCUUCCAAAAUGUGCCUAGAAACGAUGCGAACAAACGAACCAACGAACGAAUUCUGAGGGAAACAAAUUAAACUAUCCGGCGAUCACUUACGUGUGUAACGCAUCUGCGACUGAUAGUACUUGAUAACACCACUACUGCUGCACGACUGCUGGGUUUGGCUCAAAACGAUCGUGUCUGUCAGUUGAUUGGCAUCGUCUGUUCCGCCUGCGUGUGGGUGUGUGUGUGUGUGUGCGUGUUAGUUGUUAUUAUUUGUUUUUUUUUUCGUUUAUUUCGCCGGCCGGAAAACAAGACGCGUAGUGAAGAGGGCCGCCACCGAUGCGGUUAUGCGGUGGGAAAAUUAAAAUCCACCCCACGUGUCGGUGUGUUUAAGUCAAUACGGGUCGCGAAGCAUUGGAGUGGUCCGAUGUCAGAGACACGAUGCGCAUAUUUUCGAAGGUGAUGUUUUUGUCGUUGAAAUUGAAAGAUGUAGGAGUGUAGGGGGAAUAUGUUGUAUUAUGUUUCAGUGCCAUUGGUCGGCAAAUUGGAUUUUCGUGCAUCGAUUGGCCACACCGUUUUGACCGCCGGUUUGAUAGCAACAGUAGCAGAAGCAGCAGCAGCAUUAGUAUAUUGGAAAGAAAACAAAAUAUAAUGAAACCAAAAGAGAAACCACAGAGGAAGGCAUCGAAAAGGAAGGAAGGAAGAAAAAUUGGUUAAAUUGCGCUUGAUCUGGCACUCUACGACUUUAUUCGUGUGUCCUGUUUUUUAUGAACUCAUUAGCAUCGAUGAACUGGAAGAGCACUUACGCACACCACCUUUAUCAGAUCACCUAAUCGGAGCACAAAGGCGCUCUAACAGCAAAUGAUGGACCCGAAGGAAAAUUAUAUACUACACUCAGUCCUGCUAAAUACGCCAAAAAUUAGUGUUUAGCGAUAUAUUUCAGAUGUUAUAUUCGCAAAUAUUUUUAUCGAGAAAAGGAAUCAGCACAAAACUCUGCCAUCUUGAUUUGAUCUUUAAUGAAACCACUCGGGAUGGUCUCCUGGAAACACAAUAUUGACGUAGGACUACGUCUAACCGGAAGAUAUAGGGGAUGAAAUGGAAAUCUAGGCACUGAACAAGUAGGAAAAAAUGCAAGAUUUGGAACGCUUAUAACUCGAGCAUUUCUCAAUAGAUCGCAAAGGUUUUUGCAUCAAUUGAUAGGAAAUAUAUCUAC